AUUCGCCCAAAAUAAGUAGUAGACUUCCAGUUUCAUCUCUGACCCGUAGGGCUUGGAGUCUAUCACUCCUGUCCUCACAUCCAGAUGUCAGGCUCUCAAGAAGACAGGCCAGGGUGUGUACAGUCUGGAGCAGUGGCAUCGCUGUGAAAGAACAGCUCACUUGGAAGAACUUAGGCAAGCCUUAGCCAGUAGAACACACAGAGGUGCAACGCCGAAGGUUGGAGAGUGACGUGGGGAUUCUCAGGGGCUUCCCAGGCUCCGUGAGUAUUCCCUCCAGGAACUCCCGCUUCAGUUCUUUGUCAGUGUUAGGACUUUGGUUUUGGUUUUGUUGCUUGUUUUUUAGUUUGUUCUUUUUUCUUUAAGAUUAUUAUUUUACCUGUUUGGUGUUUUGCCUGCAUGUACGUAUAUCCACCAUAAACAUGCUUGGUGCCUAAGGAGGUCAGAUCAGAGAUACAAAUUGGUUGUGACCCAACAUGUGGGUACUGGAAAUUGAACCCAGGUCCUCUGCAAGAACAAGUGCUCUUAACUUCUGAACCAUCUCUCCAGCUUUGCUUGUUUAGGUUUUAAGACAGGACCUCACUAAAUAGCUGAAGAUGUCUUUAAACUUGCAGUUCUUCUGCCUCUCCCUCCAUAAUGGUGGGAUUGUAAGAAUAAGCCAGUUCUCAAUUACAGUUUAGAUUUUAAAUGUCCCCAAAAUGUUCUUCCACUGGGGAGUGGUCUCCAGUGAGCUAUUUUCAAACAUACUUUAGUGCCUUCGAUAGGUGUAUGCCAGGAGGGCUCUGACCUCAUGAAUGAAACACUCCAUUGAGGGAUUGAUAAUGUAAUGGAAUCCUGAAAGGUGGUAAACCUUUUGUGGAGUAAGUAGUUUAAGUUCAUUGGGGUCAUGACCUUGGAGGAUGGUUUUUUCCUUGUCCUCUUCCUUUCUCUUUUUCUGCCCUAGUCCCCAGCAGCUUUGCUCUACCACUCGUUGCUGAGAUGGUCUGUUUCCCAAUACCCAAAACAAUAGGGCCAGACAACUGUGGGUUGAGAUCUCUAAAACCAGGAGCCAGUCUCUGUGAGUACUUUGUCAUGGCAGUAAAACUGACACAGUGAUUAUCUGAGAAUAUCUUCCAAGGACUUCUAGGGGAGGGAGCAGGAGGAGGGAUCACUUUGCAUCAUUCCCAAAGAAUUAUCAGUAGCAAAAGCCUACUCUCCAAGGGAUGAGACCCUGCCAGACCUUGUCUAACCUGAGGUAAGGGCCUGCUAGCCUUCUUGCCUCACAUAGAGAAGGAUCUGAAAAGCAUUGGCUCUGAUCACAGCACAGAAUCUCAGACUCCUGAGACUAUAUUAACUAUACAGUUGUAGAAUGCUUCCCCCGCCCCCAUAUUUUACACUAUGUUAAUAGCCUUUGACUAUAAUAAAGGUGUGUGCACUGCAAGUUACAGGACCUAUUAAAGAGGUCUUUGGGGAACAAACAAUGGCAUGGAUGAAAUCAAAGCCUCUAAUAAAUAUUAAAUGUAGCUCAGUUCCUGGCCACCUUAACAUAAAGCCGCAUGCCAAGAAUCCAUUCACUUCAGUUCCCAGUACUGGUACAUCAUGUCCAACUUUAGUCAGAAAAGUUACAAGGCUUUGUAAAGGCAAGAGAAAAACGCUAAGACCGAACAACAAAUUGUGAACCAUAACCAAAUUCAGAUGUGCCUGUUGCCAACUUUAAGCUUAUCAGAUAGAACGUUUAAAAUAACUAUGACAAUUAAUAAAUUGAGACUCUAAUGAAUAAACUAUAACAUGCCACAAAAGAAUAGUGAUCCAAGUGACAGUUGGAUAAUUUGUU
rnacentral:lncRNA from 1 species